rnacentral:rRNA from 1 species
AUUGAACGCUGGCGGCAGGCUUAACACAUGCAAGUCGAACGGGUGGCGGACGGGUGGGUGAUUCUUGGGCACGUGGCUUAUGGAGGGAGAUAACUACGGGAAACUGUAGCUAAUACCGCGUACCAUAGGUUGAGCCCAAGUGGAAUUAGGUAUGUGGGGAGGUAAAGGCUCACCAAGCCGACGAUCUCGAGCUGGUCUGAGAGGCUGAUCGGCAACACUGGGACUGAGACACGGCCCAGACUCCUACGGGAGGCAGCAGUGGGGAAUAUUGGGCAAUGGGGGAAAGCUGACGCAGCCAUGCCGCGUGAAUGAAGAAGGUCUUCGGGUUGUAAAGUUCUUUUGUUAGCGAAGCGUUAACUAAAGAAGAAGCCCCGGCUAACUCCGUGCCAGCCGCCGCGGUAAUAC